rnacentral:tRNA from 1 species
GCGGCCGUGGUCCAGCUGGUUCAAGACGCCGGCCCGCCACGCCGGCGGCAGGGGUUCAAAUCCUCUCGGCCCUA